GAGCAAACGAUGAAGGGGAAAGUACGAACAGCACCCAUUUUGAAGAAAGCGAGCCGGUGAUGGUGGAAGACCGGUAAAUGGCCUGUACGGAAGAUCACCCCGGAGUUUCCAAGCUGAACGGAUUAAAGUAAGCCUGGCGUUACUUCACGAUACGACGACAAAGCGGGUUUUCAAUAUGGUUUGAAAACCUAUUAGGGUGGUACCGCGGGUGGCCUUCUCGUCCCUUUA
rnacentral:ncRNA from 1 species